AUGUAACUGUGACAAGGCGUGAACGAUUGGAGUGUCUGCAAAAGCAUGGUUCUCACACCUCAGGAAUGGGACAGAAGGGGAGGAAGAUAUGGAAGAAGAAAGAAGAAAAGAUCAAGCAAAAUUAGGUUCAGCACACACCAAUGUGAUCAAGCACAUAUGGAGGGAGGCCAAAUCAAAGUGCCCCACUUUGGGUGGAGGAAGUAUCAGUUUACCAGAUACUUGGCCAAGGCCAUUUUCCAAAUGAUGUACCCAGCAGAAAACAAAAGAUUGCAUCAGUUCCUCCUCGUCGCAGCUCCGUACUCUCCACACUGACGAUGCUUCAGCUACGUCACAAACAUCAACAUGUUCCAAUAAUGCGGAGUCUCUCGCCCGAAACUGCGAUCCUUCUGCUUAUCUCGCCAUGCAGGUCGCGGGCAACGGAUGCCGAUCUCUGUCCGGUUACUAUUCAGUUUCAGGCACUUGGAAAUAAGAAGCCUACACACACGCUUACUGCAGCAACGCUUUGUGUGAAAAGCCCGUGUAGUAUUGGCAAUUGAUUUUCAGAUAAAUUAAAUUUCUUAUGAUUUGCAAA